rnacentral:rRNA from 1 species
GGCUUAGAGUUUGAUCAUGGCUCAGGACGAACGCUGGCGGCGCGCCUAACACAUGCAAGUCGAACGGGGUUGAGAGGAGCUUGCUUUUCUUGACUUAGUGGCGAACGGGUGAGUAACGCGUGAGGAACCUGCCUCAAAGAGGGGGACAACAGUUGGAAACGACUGCUAAUACCGCAUAAGCCCACAGUCUCGCAUGAGACAGAGGGAAAAGGAGCAAUCCGCUUUGAGAUGGCCUCGCGUCCGAUUAGCUAGUUGGUGAGGUAACGGCCCACCAAGGCGACGAUCGGUAGCCGGACUGAGAGGUUGAACGGCCACAUUGGGACUGAGACACGGCCCAGACUCCCACGGGAGGCAGCAGUGGGGAAUAUUGCACAAUGGGGGAAACCCUGAUGCAGCGACGCCGCGUGGAGGAAGAAGGUCUUCGGAUUGUAAACUCCUGUUGUUGGGGAAAAAGAGGAUGGUACCCAACAAGGAAGUGACGGCUAACUACGUGCCAGCAGCCGCGGUAAAACGUAGGUCACAAGCGUUGUCCGGAAUUACUGGGUGUAAAGGGAGCGCAGGCGGGUAUGCAAGUUGGGAGUGAAAUACAUGGGCUCAACCCAUGAACUGCUCUCAAAACUGUGUAUCUUGAGUAGUGCAGAGGUAGGCG